GUGGGGAAUCUUCCGCAAUGGACGAAAGUCUGACGGAGCAACGCCGCGUGAGUGAUGACGGCCUUCGGGUUGUAAAGCUCUGUGAUCGGGGACGAAUGGCUGGUAUGCUAAUACCAUAUCAGAGUGACGGUACCCGAAUAGCAAGCCACGGCUAACUACGUGCCAGCAGCCGCGGUAAUACGUAGGUGGCAAGCGUUGUCCGGAAUUAUUGGGCGUAAAGCGCGCGCAGGCGGCUUCUUAAGUCCAUCUUAAAAGUGCGGGGCUUAACCCCGUGAUGGGAUGGAAACUGGGAGGCUGGAGUAUCGGAGAGGAAAGUGGAAUUCCUAGUGUAGCGGUGAAAUGCGUAGAGAUUAGGAAGAACACCGGUGGCGAAGGCGACUUUCUGGACGACAACUGACGCUGAGGCGCGAAAGCGUGGGGAGCAAACAGGAUUAGAAACCCUAGUAGUCC
rnacentral:rRNA from 1 species